rnacentral:rRNA from 1 species
AUCGAACGCUGGCGGCAGGCCUAACACAUGCAAGUCGAGCGGUAACAGGAAAUAGCUUGCUAUUUUGCUGACGAGCGGCGGACGGGUGAGUAACGCGUAGGAAUUUGCCCAGUAGUGGGGGAUAGCCCGGAGAAAUUCGGAUUAAUACCGCAUACGCCCUAAGGGGGAAAGCAGGGGAUCUUCGGACCUUGCGCUAUUGGAUAAGCCUGCGUGAGAUUAGCUAGUUGGUGAGGUAAGGGCUCACCAAGGCGACGAUCUCUAGCUGGUCUGAGAGGAUGAUCAGCCACACUGGAACUGAGACACGGUCCAGACUCCUACGGGAGGCAGCAGUGGGGAAUAUUGCACAAUGGGCGAAAGCCUGAUGCAGCCAUGCCGCGUGUGUGAAGAAGGCUCUAGGGUUGUAAAGCACUUUCAGUAGGGAGGAAAAGUCGAUAGUUAAUACCUAUCGGCCGUGACGUUACCUACAGAAGAAGCACCGGCUAACUCCGUCG